AACGAACGCUGGCGGCGUGCCUAACACAUGCAAGUCGAGCGAGAAAGCCCGCAAGGGUGAGUACAGCGGCGCACGGGUGCAUAACACGUGGGUAAUCGGCCCUGGAGUCCGGAAUAACUCGCCGAAAGGCGUGCUAAUGCCGGAUGAGACCACGGGGGCUCCGGCCCCUGAGGGAAAAGGUGGCCUCUGCAUGCAAGCUAUCACUUCAGGAUGAGCCCGCGGCCCAUCAGCUCGGUGGCGGGGUAACGGCCCACCAAGGCUACGACGGGUAGCUGGUUUGAGAGGACGAUCAGCCACACUGGAACUGAGACACGGUCCAGACUCCUACGGGAGGCAGCAGUGGGGAAUCUUGCGCAAUGGGCGAAAGCCUGACGCAGCAACGCCGCGUGUGUGAUGAAGGUCUUCGGAUCGUAAAGCACUGUCGGGAGGGACGAAUAAGGGCCGGGCGAACAUCCCGGUCCGAUGACGGUACCUCCAAAGGAAGCACCGGCUAACUCUGUGCCAGCCGCCGCAGUAAGAC
rnacentral:rRNA from 1 species